GAUGAACGCUCGCUACAGGCUUAACACAUGCAAGUCGAGGGGAAACGCCAUCGAAAGCUUGCUUUUGAUGGGCGUCGACCGGCGCACGGGUGAGUAACGCGUAUCCAACCUGCCCAUCACUUGGGAAUAACCUUGCGAAAGUAAGACUAAUACCCAAUGACAUCCCACGAAGACAUCUGAAUGGGAUUAAAGAUUUAUCGGUGAUGGAUGGGGAUGCGUCUGAUUAGCUUGUUGGCGGGGUAACGGCCCACCAAGGCAACGAUCAGUAGGGGUUCUGAGAGGAAGGUCCCCCACAUUGGAACUGAGACACGGUCCAAACGCCUACGGGAGGCAGCAGUGAGGAAUAGUGGUCAAUGGGCGAGAGCCUGAACCAGCCAAGUAGCGUGCAGGAUGACGGCCCUAUGGGUUGUAAACUGCUUUUAGAAGGGAAUAAAGUGGGUCUCGGGAGACUUUUUGCAUGUACCUUAUGAAUAAGAACCGGCUAAUUCCGUG
rnacentral:rRNA from 1 species